rnacentral:rRNA from 1 species
ACGAACGCUGGCGGCGUGCCUAAUACAUGCAAGUAGAACGCUGAAGGAGGAGCUUGCUUCUCCGGAUGAGUUGCGAACGGGUGAGUAACGCGUAGGUAACCUGCCUGGUAGCGGGGGAUAACUAUUGGAAACGAUAGCUAAUACCGCAUAACAGUAGAUAUUGCAUGAUAUCUGCUUGAAAGGUGCAAUUGCAUCACUACCAGAUGGACCUGCGUUGUAUUAGCUAGUUGGUGAGGUAACGGCUCACCAAGGCGACGAUACAUAGCCGACCUGAGAGGGUGAUCGGCCACACUGGGACUGAGACACGGCCCAGACUCCUACGGGAGGCAGCAGUAGGGAAUCUUCGGCAAUGGACGGAAGUCUGACCGAGCAACGCCGCGUGAGUGAAGAAGGUUUUCGGAUCGUAAAGCUCUGUUGUAAGAGAAGAACGAGUGUGAGAGUGGAAAGUUCACACUGUGACGGUAUCUGACCAGAAAGGGACGGCUAACUACGUG